rnacentral:rRNA from 1 species
AGCAGCCGCGGUAAUUCCAGCUCCAAUAGCGUAUAUUAAAGUUGUUGCAGUUAAAAAGCUCGUAGUUGAAUUUCGGGAUUCGUCCAUUGGUCAGGCUUAACUGUCUGUACUGGUGUGUCGGAUUUCUACCUUCUGAAGAACCUUUAUGCCAUUAAUUUGGUGUGUUGGGGAAUCAGGACUGUUACUUUGAAAAAAUUAGAGUGUUUAAAGCAGGCUAACGUCUGAAUACAUUAGCAUGGAAUAAUGAAAUAGGACGGUACGGUUCUAUUUUGUUGGUUUCUAGGAUCGCCGUAAUGAUUAAUAGGGAUAGUUGGGGGCAUUAGUAUUCAAUUGUCAGAGGUGAAAUUCUUGGAUUUAUUGAAGACUAACUACUGCGAAAGCAUUUGCCAAGGAUGUUUUCAUUAAUCAAGAACGAAAGUUAGGGGAUCGAAGACGAUCAGAUACCGUCGUAGUCUUAACCAUAAACUAUGCCGACUAGGGAUUGGACGAUGUUAAUUUUUUAAUGACUCG